rnacentral:rRNA from 1 species
UUACGGAAGGCGGCAGUGGGGAAUUUUGCGCAAUGGGCGAAAGCCUGACGCAGCAACGCCGCGUGGGUGAUGAAGGUCUUCGGAUUGUAAAACCCUGUCGUCGGGGACGAAGGUGGGCUCGUUAAUAGCGAGUUUGCUUGACGGUACCCGGAGAGGAAGCCCCGGCUAACUCUGUGCCAGCAGCCGCGGUAAUACAGAGGGGGCAAGCGUUAUUCGGAAUUAUUGGGCGUAAAGGGCGCGUAGGCGGUGAUUCAAGUUGGAUGUGUAAUCCCCGAGCUCAACUUGGGAACUGCAUCCAAGACUGGAUGGCUAGAGUGCUGGAGAGGGUAGUGGAAUUCCUCGUGUAGCGGUGAAAUGCGUAGAGAUGAGGAGGAACACCAGUGGCGAAGGCGGCCACCUGGACAGUAACUGACGCUGAGGCGCGAAAGUGUGGGUAGCAAACAGGAUUAGAAACCCGUGUAGUCCG